AGUUGACUGCCCCACACCGAGCUCGGGCCUCACCCGGAUGGCGGCUGCGACGCGCGGCUGCCGGCCCUGGGGCUCGCUCCUCGGGCUGCUCGGGCUGGUCUCGACCGCGGCCGCCGCCUGGGACCUGGCUUCCCUGCGCUGCAACUUGGGCGCCUUUUGCGAAUGCGACUUCCGGCCCGACUUGCCGGGUGAGGCGCCAGGGAGCCCGGAGCGAGGGGCGGGCGGACGCGGGCAGACGCGGGAGCGCUGGGAGCCCGGCUGGCGCCGGCCAGAGAAGCUGAGGACCCAGAGGGUGGGACCGAGGGGCGGGGCCCGCAGACUUGGGAGGGUGGAGGGUACCCGUUGAGGUCCAGGAGGCCCUGCCAACCUGGAGAGAGGCCUCAGCCAGCAGAACCCUUGGUGGAAGUUCUUGGGCCUCCCCGGAAUGGCCUGGCCGUCAAAGGAGAAGUGCAGUGCGCCUUGGGGAUGGGCGGGGUCUGCGGCUGACCCCGUUGACAGCUCGCAUUUAGGGCUGAGUGCAAUCUGGAGGACCGCCUGGUGGGGGCGCUGCCGAGCUGAAUCAGGCCCGAAGGUGGCUCUUUUCCGCCACAGACCCCAAGGUUUGCGUGCCAUGUGCAUAGGCAGCUUGGACAAACGUAAGGACACAGGAGUCCCAGACCAGGUUCCAGACAUGACGUUCUCCUUGAACCUCUGCCUCGGUGGGAUGUGUCCUCACCAUCCUCCUGUGGCCCUAGGUCUGGAGUGUGACCUGGCUCAGCACCUGGCCGGCCAGCAUCUGGCCAAGGCGCUGGUGGUGAAGGCGCUGAAGGCCUUUGUGCGGGACCCAGCCCCCACCAAGCCGCUGGUCCUCUCCCUGCACGGCUGGACCGGCACCGGCAAAUCCUAUGUCAGCUCCCUGCUGGCGCACUACCUCUUCCAGGGCGGCCUCCGCAGCCCCCGCGUGCACCACUUUUCUCCCGUCCUCCACUUCCCCCACCCCAGCCACAUCGAGCGCUACAAGGUAGGCUGGAUGCGUCCUUGACCACUGUUCUCACCAUGGGGUGCCACCCUAGGGAGUAAGUCCUGAGCCCAGACAGGGGAGUCACCUGCUCCAGGCCACACACGGCUGCAGCCCCAGCCCUCAGGACCCAUCCUGCAGAGAACUUGGGAAGGUGUCAUUCUACCUGGCAGGGAGUACUUUGAUUCCUUGGGGCAGUAAGGAACCCUGGCAGUACCUACAUGCCAGGGUUGUUGUGAGGGACAUGAGAUUAUACCAUUGCAGAUAUCAUUUAUGGAGCACCUAUGUUUGUCAGAUAAUCUGCACUGUUGUCUUGCUGGAAAUCAGCCCCAGUUUGUGGCUCAGAGGAAGCAUCGGGAAAUAUUGGCUCUUAUUACUACUGUUGUUGAUUGCUGGGUACCCACCAGGCUGAUCAGUUUCAGCCGUCAACACUGCUGUGUAGUUUCAGGGAGCAGGAAGGAGACUUCCCCUUUUAUAGAAAGCAGCAGGUGUUGUGGAAGGAGCCCUGAACAGGGAAGUGGGAGGCUUGGGUUUGAGUCCCUGUUCUGACUGGCUGUGUGACUUUGGGCAAGUCUCUGCCCCAAUCUGGGAUACAGUUUCACCAUCAGUCUCACUAAGAGGUUGGUGCUCUCUGGAAGACCACAUCCUUCCCUAGAAAGGAGAUUAGUUUUUGGUUUGGGAAGAGGUCUGGGGUUGGGGGAGUUUCUCCAGCCCCCCUGGAACUCCUGUGUCUCCCCUACAGAAGGAUCUGAAGAGCUGGGUCCAAGGGAACCUCACUGCCUGUGGCCGCUCCCUCUUCCUCUUCGAUGAGAUGGACAAGAUGCCCCCAGGCCUGAUGGAAGUCCUGCGGCCUUUCCUGGGCUCCUCCUGGGUGGUAUACGGGACCAAUUACCGCAAAGCCAUCUUCAUCUUCAUCAGGUGGGGCCCGGCUUUGCAGGGGGCACAGUGGGGGGCCACUUCUCAGAGGUUCAGCUCUACAGCCUUAGCCUGUGCUCCCAGCAGAAUCCAAUUCCCCAUGGGCUUAGCUGGGCUUUCCCAGUGCCCCCUGCCACUCUCAGAGAUGACAUUGUCAUUCCGCCUGGUUGAUUUCCCUUUGGACAUUCUCAGCAAAUUCUGGGCUCAGUCUUUUUGAUCGCCACUUCUUUGUGGAAGCCCUGCCAGGUCAAGAAGUUUUCCCUCUUUUGUGGUGAGGAGGACACAGGCCUGGGAAAAACAGGAACAGAGUUCUUGUCCUUUAGUCCCAGCUCUCAGAAUCCUCGCUGUGUUUCCUCAGGCAGCAUGGCUCCGCCUCUCUGAGCCUCUGUCUCUGCUUCUGAACAGCGGGGCCAAUAAUGAUGCCCUGAUGCCUUCCUGGAAGUUCAGUGAGGGAAAGUCAGUUGAGGGACACAAAAGUGUUUUGUAAACUGUAAAGUACGUGGCAUGUGUAGGUGAAUUACGGGGCCAUGGAUGUGGACACCAUGGAGGGGGAAGUGGAGCGUUUUCAGUGGAGUUGGCUCCUCCCCGCACUGAGCCGUGUUCCUAUGUCAGGUGGCAGCGGGGAAGCGAGGGUCCAAUCCUGCCCUGCGCUAGUCCUCAUCUGAGUCUCAGCCUGGGUCCCCCAUGGUUUUAGCAACACGGGUGGCGAGCAGAUCAACCAGGUGGCAUUGGAGGCGUGGCGCAGCCGGCGGGACCGCGAGGAGAUCCUCCUGCAGGAGCUGGAGCCGGUCAUCUCCCGCGCGGUGCUGGACAACCCGCACCAUGGCUUCUCAAACUCGGGCAUCAUGGAAGAGCGCCUCCUAGACGCAGUGGUGCCCUUCCUCCCGCUCCAGCGGCACCACGUCCGGCACUGCGUGCUCAACGAGCUGGCCCAGCUGGGCCUGGAGCCAAGGGAUGAGGUUGUCCAGGCUGUGCUGGACAGCACCACCUUCUUCCCUGAAGACGAGCAGCUCUUCUCCUCCAACGGCUGCAAGACCGUGGCCUCCCGAAUCGCCUUCUUCCUCUGACUCUCUGAGUGGUGUCCUCGGCGCCCCUGAUGGCCAGGCCAUGCAGGAAAGGCCUGGGGCCUCUGUCACAGGAACCCAGAGCACCAAGUGAGAUGAACGGAGUGUCGGCUAGGCCACGGGACAGAUGGCCGGGAAGGGCCCUGGCCUCUAAACUGGCUCGAGAGCAUCUUGGCCCCGGCCACCUUCCCCAGGAAAACCCCUGGUCACCCCAGAACGUCACUGAGCCUUGACCUCCCCCUGCAGCCUGAGCCUUCUUACUGUGAAUUAUAACUCAGGGACUGUGGCUCGUGGCGGUGCUCCCUCCUCAGUCUGCCACCCUUGCCCCUUGCCUCCUUGGUUGGGCACCAUACCUCCUCCCCUCCACCCCACACCCUGUGUCCAUAUCAAGCCAGGUGGAGCCUUCUCAGUUUCCAGAAAUGGAGGGACUCAAGCUGCCACUUGGGCCUGGUUUUAGAUGUUUUUAAUUUUGUAAAAGAAGAGAACAAGUAUAAUAAACUCAGCUGUGGGACC
rnacentral:sRNA from 1 species